UACCACACGACUGACUAUGUGGAUGAGAUCAAAAAGAUCUCCCCCAAAGGAGUAGACAUCGUCAUGGACCCUCUGGGUGGGUCGGACACUGCGAAGGGCUACCACCUUCUCAAACCCAUGGGCAAAGUUGUCACUUACGCACCACCACCUGGGCUUCUUGGGCAAGCCGGAUAUUUAUUUUAAAACCUACUUUACACAAAAAAGUAAAUAUAAAAGUGAGAGCAA
rnacentral:lncRNA from 1 species